UUAAUAUAUAAUUUCCUCUUUCUUCUCUCUCUCUCUAUAUUCUGGCAUCUCUCUCUAUCGGAAAGGACCGCUGGAGUGAAGCCACUGGAAGCCGUCUGAGUGAAGCGGCCUGACACCACCACUGUGCCUCGUUAUCUCGCCUCGUUCAAACAUUUGUUUCAAUUGUCAAACCUUAGCUCGAGAUCUAGAUUCCUGUCUUGAUUCAUUGUAUCUCUCUUUUCCUCUUGCAGGUUAUUUUGUUUGGGAAGCAAAAUGAAUGAAAUAAUGAAAGAAUUCCAGCAAGGCCUCAUUGAAGUUGAAAUGGAAGCUGAAAAUCUUCUAUUAGCUCGCCAUCAGUUGGUUGAAAAUGACAGAGUGAGACAGGGGAAUAGGGAAGCUUUGACGGCAUUAAGAAGGAGAGCUCAAACGACAAAGACUAGUGUCCCUUUGCCGUUCGAGUCAAUAAUGAGGGAUGUUGAAUCAAGGCCGCUGGUGAAAGAAAUCUGUGCAAGCUGUGGUGAUCACGAUUCAAAAGAGAAGACAUGGUUAAUGUUUCCGGGCACUGAUCUUUUCGCCAGCAUUCCAUUCCAUGCUGCUCAUACCAUUUUAGAGAAAGCAUUUCAGACGUCAUUCGAUGUUGGGAGGAAAAGAUACGUUUUUCCUAUGGAUGGUAGCAUCGAGUUCACCAACCAGGCUAUGACCAUGGAGUUUUCAGAUUGCCAUUUCAAUAGAUGAGAGGUGUCAGUUGGCUUCUUCGCUGCUUCGGUCAGAUCAAACACAUAUUGAUUACGAAUCUAAAAAACUUCAAAGCUAUGUCAAAGAAAAGUCAUUUUCGAUUUCCGAAAAGGGUGUUCUUGCUGACAAGAUCAGUCCAGGUGUACUUAGAGCUCUGGUUACUUUAACUGACAAGCCAAAGGUUGAGGAGGAAGAUUAAUAGUUGCAUUAAUCAUUGGAUUCUGCUGAAGGUUGGCUAUAUGUUGACUCCAAAUUUCAUUUCCAGUGGUUUUUCCUCUGCCUUUCUGUUGUCCUUUCUUAAAUCAAGCACUGGGGCUAUUUUAGUGUACUAAUCCAUAAAUGGAUGGAUAUCUAAAUCAGAGAAGUGCAUCUUCCUUCUAAGACUGAAUAAUAGCUUGAUUAUUAUCGGUGUCGGAGAAAAGGGCUCUUUCCCGGAGCAAGGGACUUCUAAGGGUAACGGGAAAGGCUUUCUGAGAAAAUGUUUAGGACUCCCUGCUGGAUGUUUGCUCUUUUAUCUCUUGUAAUAUGUUUAAAUUACUAUGACAUGCCCAUCUCUUAUUUGAUAAUUAUUGAGUUAUGCAUCAAUCUUCAGUGUUUUCAUGA